UGCCAGCAGCCGCGGUAAUACAGAGGGUGCAAGCGUUAAUCGGAAUUACUGGGCGUAAAGGGUGUGUAGGUGGUUAUGUAAGUUAGAUGUGAAAUCCCCGGGCUUAACCUGGGAACUGCGUUUAAAACUGCGUAGCUAGAGUAUUGCAGAGGGUAGUGGAAUUUCCAGUGUAGCGGUGAAAUGCGUAGAUAUUGGAAGGAACACCAGUGGCGAAGGCGACUACCUGGGCAAAUACUGACACUGAGACACGAAAGCGUGGGGAGCAAACAGGAUUAGAUACCCUGGUAGUCC
rnacentral:rRNA from 1 species